UUCCUUCCUUUGCCUCAUGCUGCUACCAUAUCCUAUACCCGGGCCUUCUUCCGCCUUCUGGAAGUUCCCAUUUGCCCAGGAAGUUGUGUCCUCCUCUUAAAUGUCUUCUACCUGCCACUUCCCUGAGCCAGUGGUCUCACUGCUUUGCUUGCCAGUUACCAGGUCCCUGCCCCCUAGGUGCACCCUCUCCCAUCACCGUCCUCCCCACCCCACUUCCCAUAGAGUGCUCUCAUGGGUCCUCUGUUGCUGCCCUGCGACUUCUGGCACAACCUUCAUUCCUCUCCUCUCCCAGGUUUUGGUUCCUUUGUGGACAAAACAGUGCUGCCCUUUGUGAGCACAGUACCCUCCAAGCUGCGCCACCCCUGCCCCACCCGGCUGGAGCGCUGCCAGUCACCCUUCAGCUUUCACCAUGUGCUGUCCCUGACGGGGGACGCACAAGCCUUCGAGCGGGAGGUGGGGCGCCAGAGUGUGUCCGGCAAUCUGGACUCGCCUGAAGGUGGCUUCGAUGCCAUUCUGCAGGCUGCACUCUGCCAGGAGCAGAUUGGCUGGAGAAAUGUGUCCCGGCUGCUGGUGUUCACUUCAGAUGACACAUUCCAUACAGCUGGGGACGGGAAGUUGGGCGGCAUUUUCAUGCCCAGUGAUGGGCACUGCCACUUGGACAGCAAUGGCCUCUACAGUCGCAGCACAGAGUUUGACUACCCUUCUGUGGGUCAGGUAGCCCAGGCCCUCUCUGCAGCCAAUAUCCAGCCCAUCUUUGCUGU
rnacentral:sRNA from 1 species